UAAUACAGAGGUGGCUAGCGUUGUUCGGUAUCACUGGGCAUAAAGGGGGCGUAGGCGGUCUGGUAAGUUGGUAUGUGAAAUCCCUCGGCUCAACCGAGGAAUUGCGUCAGAUACUGCCAGACUUGAGGCUCGUAGGGGAGAGUGGAAUUCCUGGUGUAGCGGUGAAAUGCGUAGAUAUCAGGAGGAACGCCGGUGGCGAAGGCGACUCUCUGGGCGAGUCCUGACGCUGAGGUCCGAAAGCCGGGGGAGCGAACAGGAUUAGAUACCCUGGUAGUCCCGGCUGUAAACGAUGAGCACUACGUAGGGGGGGUUUCGGCCUUCCCUGCCUAAGCAAAAGUAUUAAGUGCUCCGCCUGGGGAGUAUGGUCGCAAGGCUG
rnacentral:rRNA from 1 species